GACGAACGCUGGCGGCGUGCCUAAUACAUGCAAGUAGAACGCUGAAGAGAGGAGCUUGCUCUUCUUGGAUGAGUUGCGAACGGGUGAGUAACGCGUAGGUAACCUGCCUUGUAGCGGGGGAUAACUAUUGGAAACGAUAGCUAAUACCGCAUAACAAUGGAUGACUCAUGUCAUUUAUUUGAAAGGGGCAAAUGCUCCACUACAAGAUGGACCUGCGUUGUAUUAGCUAGUAGGUGAGGUAACGGCUCACCUAGGCGACGGUACAUAGCCGACCUGAGAGGGUGAUCGGCCACACUGGGACUGAGACACGGCCCAGACUCCUACGGGAGGCAGCAGUAGGGAAUCUUCGGCAAUGGGGGCAACCCUGACCGAGCAACGCCGCGUGAGUGAAGAAGGUUUUCGGAUCGUAAAGCUCUGUUGUAAGUCAAGAACGAGUGUGAGAGUGGAAAGUUCACACUGUGACGGUAGCUUACCAGAAAGGGACGGCUAACUACGUGC
rnacentral:rRNA from 1 species